rnacentral:rRNA from 1 species
CUUGACCUCAAAUCAGGUAGGACUACCCGCUGAACUUAAGCAUAUCAAUAAGCGGAGGAAAAGAAACUAACGAGGAUUCCCCUAGUAACUGCGAGUGAAGCGGGAAAAGCUCAAAUUUCGAAUCUGGCGG